CAGUCGCCGCGGUAAUACGGAGGGUGCAAGCGUUAAUCGGAAUUACUGGGCGUAAAGCGCACGCAGGCGGUCUGACAAGUCAGAUGUGAAAUCCCCGGGCUUAACCUGGGAACUGCAUUUGAAACUGUCAGGCUGGAGUCUUGUAGAGGGGGGUGGAAUUCCAGGUGUAGCGGUGAAAUGCGUAGAGAUCUGGAGGUAUACCGGUGGCGAAGGCGGCCCCCUGGACAAAGACUGACGCUCAGGUGCGAAAGCGUGGGGAGCAAACAGGAUUAGAUACCCCGGUAGUCCCUGUCUCUUAUAA
rnacentral:rRNA from 1 species